UGGGGAAUAUUGCACAAUGGGCGCAAGCCUGAUGCAGCCAUGCCGCGUGUGUGAAGAAGGCCUUCGGGUUGUAAAGCACUUUCAGCGGGGAGGAAGGCGAUAAGGUUAAUAACCUUGUCGAUUGACGUUACCCGCAGAAGAAGCACCGGCUAACUCCGUGCCAGCAGCCGCGGUAAUACGGAGGGUGCAAGCGUUAAUCGGAAUUACUGGGCGUAAAGCGCACGCAGGCGGUCUGUCAAGUCGGAUGUGAAAUCCCCGGGCUCAACCUGGGAACUGCAUUCGAAACUGGCAGGGUAGAGUCUUGUAGAGGGGGGUAGAAUUCCAGGUGUAGCGGUGAAAUGCGUAGAGAUCUGGAGGAAUACCGGUGGCGAAGGCGGCCCCCUGGACAAAGACUGACGCUCAGGUGCGAAAGCGUGGGGAGCAAACAGG
rnacentral:rRNA from 1 species